rnacentral:rRNA from 1 species
UACGUAGGGGGCAAGCGUUGUCCGGAUUCAUUGGGCGUAAAGAGCUCGUAGGUGGUUCGGUAAGUCAGGUGUGAAACCUCCAGGCUCAACCUGGAGACGCCACUUGAUACUGCUGUGACUGGAGUCCGGUAGGGGAGCGUGGAAUUCCUGGUGUAGCGGUGAAAUGCGCAGAUAUCAGGAGGAACACCAGCGGCGAAGGCGGCGCUCUGGGCCGGUACUGACACUGAGGAGCGAAAGCGUGGGUAGCAAACAGG